UACGUAGGGGGCAAGCGUUGUCCGGAAUCAUUGGGCGUAAAGCGCGUGUAGGCGGCUUGGUAAGUCUGCUCUGAAAUCCCCGAGCUCAACUCGGGAACUGCGUCCGAUACUGGCGGGCUUGAAUCCGGGAGAGGGAUGCGGAAUUCCAGGUGUAGCGGUGAAAUGCGUAGAUAUCAGGAGGAACACCGGUGGCGAAGGCGGCAUCCUGGACCGAGAUUGACGCUGAUGCGCGAAAGCCAGGGGAGCAAACGGG
rnacentral:rRNA from 1 species